AAUCAACGCUGGCGGCGUGCCUAACACAUGCAAGUCGAGCGAGAAAGGGGAGCAAUCCCCGAGUACAGCGGCGCACGGGUGAGUAACACGUGGGUAAUCUGCCUCGGAGUGGGGAAUCACACCGGGCAACCGGUGCUAAUACCGCAUACGAUCACGAUGUUUGCGGACGUUGUGAUGAAAGGCGCAAGUCGCUCUGAGAGGAGCACGCGGCUGAUUAGCUAGUUGGUGGGGUAAUGGCCCACCAAGGCAACGAUCAGUAUCCGGUCUGAGAGGACGGUCGGACACACUGGAACUGAGACACGGUCCAGACUCCUACGGGAGGCAGCAGUGGGGAAUUUUUGGCAAUGGGGGCAACCCUGACCAAGCAACGCCGCGUGGGUGAUGAAGUCUCUUGGGACGUAAAACCCUUUCGACGGGGAAGAAACCGCAAGGUUGACGGUACCCGUAGAAGAAGCCCCGGCUAACUCCGUGCCAGCAGCCGCCGUAAUAC
rnacentral:rRNA from 1 species